UAUAUCCAAAGAAUACGUCAAUAUAGUUACGUCAACGUUAAACGGAUUUUCUUUCUUUCUUUCUUUCUUUCUUUAUUUAUUUAUUUAUUUAUUUACUUACUCAAGAAAACUUUUAGAAAUAUUUAUUAUAACGUUAAUAAUGAAAGAAAAUAUUCAGUGUUGUUAUUGAUAUCAUUUGAUCGAAUAAUUUAAUUGUAAUUUUUGUUUAUCUUGCUGUUGUUAUUUGUUGGUUUUCCUUUAAAAUGCAAAAGCGACAAUUUAAAGAAUUUUAAAGAAUUUAAAAAUCAUUACAAAUUCGUGCCCAGGAUCAUCUGGGAUAAUUCACAUUUAUUAUUCAUUUUAGAACGAGGUAAAAGCAAAUUUUCCUUUUUACCAUUUUUGUCGUGCUUCACUUUCAAGCAUAUCCUAUCUUCCGAGCUUCCGAAUCUUAUUCUCUCAGGAUUGCUAGGAUCUUAACUCGCCAAUCUGGUCCAGAGCUCGUCCACAAGUUUCCUACCAGUCGAACAGCUCUCUCGGGACAGAUCGUUGCCACCUCAUUCAACAACCAAUGCCCAAAGAUGUUCCGUAUUUACAUACGACGUAAGACCAUAAGAAUAAUACCGACUGAUAUUAUUGACGAAGAAAGAGAGAGACAUCUUCGAUUAUUAUGGAACUAGGUGAGACUCCGUUAGACGUUUGAAAUAUGGUCAAUCGGGGAAAAAGAGAUAUGAUGAAGAAGAAAAAAGAGAAGAGAGAGAGAGAGAGAGAGAGAGAG